AGGAAUGCCUCCUAUCCAGCCAGAGAGAAGAACAGGUCCACCACCAGGGCACCAGCAAAGACCAACAGAGCAGAGCCUCCUGGGCAGGGUGGGGCCAUCUCCGGAAGGCAGAGAGGAUGAGGACCAGGGGCCAGAGUGAGAGCCCCCACCACAAACUCUGCAGAGGACUAAACCCUGCUCCUGCCCUGGAUGUUACAGCUGACAGCCAGCCACACCAACCUCUUCUCCAUGUGUCUCCUGUGCCCGAUAAUGGUGUGUCCCACCCAGCCUCACUGAACUCACUGCGGUUCCUUCCCUGUCCUCAGCCCUAAGCAGCAGUGAUGCACACAUGCCCUGUUGUAGUUGCAAGCUGGAGUGACCCUGCCCUCCCUCAGUGCUCAGUCCCCAUCUCACUGCUAAGCAGGGCCAAGUGUCACCCACUUCUAUGUCUCCUGUCCUGCAACCUAGUAGGGGCUCAAUAAAUGGACAAACAGCGAGUAGUUUCUUCUCUGGUACAGAGCAGAGAGCAGGAAUGGCCUGGGCUCUACACCCUGCCCAGUGAUUUGGCAACGCAGGCCGGAGUCAGGCCUUUCCUGAACUGCA